rnacentral:rRNA from 1 species
UACGGGAGGCAGCAGUGGGGAAUAUUGCACAAUGGGCGAAAGCCUGAUGCAGCUAUGCCGCGUGUAUGAAGAAGGCCUUAGGGUUGUAAAGUACUUUCAUCGGGGAGGAAAAACAAAACUAAUAAUUUUAUUUCUUGACGUUACCCGAAAAAGAAGCACCGGCUAACUCCGUGCCAGCAGCCGCGGUAAUACGGAGGGUGCUAGCGUUAAUCAGAAUUACUGGGCGUAAAGAGCACGUAGGUGGUUUUUUUAAAGUCAGAUGUGAAAUCCCUGGGCUUAACCUAGGAACUGCAUUUUGAAACUGAAAUACUAGAGUAUCGUAGAGGGAGGUAGAAUUCUAGGUGUAGCGGUGAAAUGCGUAGAUAUCUGGAGGAAUACCUGUGGCGAAAGCGGCCUCCUAAACGAAUACUGACACUGAGGUGCGAAAGCGUGGGGAGCAAACAGGGAUUAGAUACCCGU